rnacentral:rRNA from 1 species
CUGAGUACGGCGGAACACGUGAAAUUCCGUCGGAAUCCGGGAGGACCAUCUCCCAAGGCUAAAUACUCCCUAGUGACCGAUAGUGAACCAGUACCGUGAGGGAAAGGUGAAAAGCACCCCGGAAGGGGAGUGAAACAGUUCCUGAAACCGUGUGCCUACAAGUAGUUAGAGCCCGUUAAUGGGUGAUAGCGUGCCUUUUGUAGAAUGAACCGGCGAGUUACGAUUUGUUGCAAGGUUAAGCGGAAAAAGCGGAGCCGUAGCGAAAGCGAGUCUGAAUAGGGCGCAUAAGUAACAGGUCGUAGACCCGAAACCAGGUGAUCUACCCAUGUCCAGGAUGAAGGUAAGGUAAUACUUACUGGAGGUCCGAACCCACGCACGUUGAAAAGUGCGGGGAUGAGGUGUGGGUAGCGGAGAAAUUCCAAUCGAACUUGGAGAUAGCUGGUUCUCUCCGAAAUAGCUUUAGGGCUAGCCUCGAGGUAAAGAGUCAUGGAGGUAGAGCACUGUUUGGACUAGGGGCCCUUCUCGGGUUACCGAAUUCAGAUAAACUCCGAAUGCCAUGUACUUAUACUCGGGAGUCAGACUGCGAGUGAUAAGAUCCGUAGUCGAAAGGGAAACAGCCCAGACCACCAGUUAAGGUCCCCAAAUAUAUGUUAAGUGGAAAAGGAUGUGGGGUUGCUUAGACAACCAGGAUGUUGGCUUAGAAGCAGCCACCAUUGAAAGAGUGCGUAAUAGCUCACUGGUCGAGUGACCCCGCGCCGAAAAUGUACCGGGGCUAAACAUAUUACCGAAACUGUGGAUGAACCUCUUUAGAGGUUCGUGGUAGGAGAGCGUUCUAAGGGCGGUGAAGUCAGACCGGAAGGACUGGUGGAGCGCUUAGAAGUGAGAAUGCCGGUAUGAGUAGCGAAAGAAGGGUGAGAAUCCCUUCCACCGAAUAUCUAAGGUUUCCUGAGGAAGGCUCGUCCGCUCAGGGUUAGUCGGGACCUAAGCCGAGGCCGAUAGGCGUAGGCGAUGGACAACAGGUAGAGAUUCCUGUACCAGUGCUAAUUGUUUAACCGAUGGGGUGACACAGAAGGAUAGGGAAUCGCACGAAUGGAAAUGUGCGUCCAAGCAGUGAGUGUGAGAAGUAGGCAAAUCCGCUUCUCGCGAAGCAUGAGCUGUGAUGGGGAAGGAAAUUAAGUACGGAAGUUCCUGAUUUCACGCUGUCAAGAAAAGCCUCUAGGAAGAGUAGUACUGCCCGUACCGCAAACCGACACAGGUAGAUGAGGAGAGAAUCCUAAGGUGAGCGAGAGAACUCUCGUUAAGGAACUCGGCAAAAUGACCCCGUAACUUCGGGAGAAGGGGUGCUCUAUUAGGGUGCAAGCCCGAGAGAGCCGCAGUGAAUAGGCCCAGGCGACUGUUUAGCAAAAACACAGGUCUCUGCAAAACCGUAAGGUGACGUAUAGGGGCUGACGCCUGCCCGGUGCUGGAAGGUUAAGAGGAGUGCUUAGCUUCGGCGAAGGUACGAAUUGAAGCCCCAGUAAACGGCGGCCGUAACUAUAACGGUCCUAAGGUAGCGAAAUUCCUUGUCGGGUAAGUUCCGACCCGCACGAAAGGCGCAACGAUCUGGGCACUGUCUCAACGAGAGACUCGGUGAAAUUAUAGUACCUGUGAAGAUGCAGGUUACCCGCGACAGGACGGAAAGACCCCGUGGAGCUUUACUGCAACCUGAUAUGGAAUGUUUGUACCGCUUGUACAGGAUAGGUAGGAGC